rnacentral:rRNA from 1 species
UCAAGUAAUUAAGUGCAUGUGGUGGAUGCCUUGGCAGUCAGAGGCGAUGAAAGACGUGAUAGCCUGCGAAAAGCUCCGGGGAGGCGGCAAAUAUCCUUUGAUCCGGAGAUGUCUGAAUGGGGGAACCCACCUACUUUAAGGUAGGUAUUGCAACAUGAAUACAUAGUGUUGCAAGGCGAACGAGGGGAAGUGAAACAUCUCAGUACCCUUAGGAAAAGAAAUCAAUUGAGAUUCCCUCAGUAGCGGCGAGCGAACGGGGAUCAGCCCAUUAAGUUAUGUGUGUUUUAGUGGAACGCUCUGGGAAGUGCGAACGUAGAGGGUGAUAUUCCCGUACACGAAAGGGCACACAUAAUGAUGACGAGUAGGGCGAGGCACGUGAAACCUUGUCUGAAUAUGGGGGGACCAUCCUCCAAGGCUAAAUACUCCUGACUGACCGAUAGUGAACCAGUACCGUGAGGGAAAGGCGAAAAGAACCCCUGUGAGGGGAGUGAAAUAGAUCCUGAAACCGCAUGCAUACAAGCAGUGGGAGCACCUUCGUGGUGUGACUGCGUACCUUUUGUAUAAUGGGUCAGCGACUUAUAUUCAGUAGCAAGGUUACCGUAUAGGGGAGCCGUAGAGAAAUCGAGUCUUAAUAGGGCGUUUAGUUGCUGGGUAUAGACCCGAAACCAGGCGAUCUAUCCAUGAGCAGGUUGAAGGUUGGGUAACACUAACUGGAGGACCGAACCCACUGUCGUUGAAAAGCCAGGGGAUGACUUGUGGAUAGGGGUGAAAGGCUAAUCAAGCCUGGUGAUAGCUGGUUCUCCCCGAAAGCUAUUUAGGUAGCGCCUCGGACGAAUACCAUAGGGGGUAGAGCACUGUUUCGGCUAGGGGGUCAUCCCGACUUACCAAACCGAUGCAAACUCCGAAUACCUAUGAGUACUAUCCGGGAGACAGACUGCGGGUGCUAACGUCCGUAGUCAAGAGGAAAACAAUCCAGACCGCCAGCUAAGGCCCCAAAAUCAUAGUUAAGUGGGAAACGAUGUGGGAAGGCAUAGACAGCUAGGAGGUUGGCUUAGAAGCAGCCACCCUUUAAAGAAAGCGUAAUAGCUCACUAGUCGAGUCGGCCUGCGCGGAAGAUGUAACGGGGCUAAAACUAUGUGCCGAAGCUGCGGAUGUAUACUUUGUAUACGUGGUAGGGGAGCGUUCUGUAAGCCGAUGAAGGUGUGUUGAGAAGCAUGCUGGAGGUAUCAGAAGUGCGAAUGCUGACGUGAGUAACGACAAAACGGGUGAAAAACCCGUUCGCCGAAAGACCAAGGGUUCCAGUCCAACGUUAAUCGGGGCUGGGUGAGUCGACCCCUAAGGCGAGGCCGAAAGGCGUAGUCGAUGGGAAAAUGGUUAAUAUUCCAUUACUUCUGUGUAAUGCGAUGAGAGGACGGAGAAGGCUAAAUCAGCCUGGCGUUGGUUGUCCAGGUGAAAGGAUGUAGGCAUGUAUCUUAGGCAAAUCCGGGGUACUCUAUGCUGAGAUCUGAUAGCAAGCUGUACUUGUACAGCGAAGUGGUUGAUGCCAUGCUUCCAGGAAAAGUCUCUAAGCUUCAGUUACACAGGAAUCGUACCCGAAACCGACACAGGUGGUCAGGUCGAGUAGACCAAGGCGCUUGAGAGAACUCUGCUGAAGGAACUAGGCAAAAUGGUACCGUAACUUCGGGAGAAGGUACGCUGUUGUUGGUGAUGGAACUCGCUUCCUGAGCUGACGACAGCCGCAGAAACCAGGCCGCUGCAACUGUUUAUUAAAAACAUAGCACUCUGCAAACACGAAAGUGGACGUAUAGGGUGUGAUGCCUGCCCGGUGCUGGAAGGUUAAUUGAUGGGGUUAGCGUAAGCGAAGCUCUUGAUCGAAGCCCCAGUAAACGGCGGCCGUAACUAUAACGGUCCUAAGGUAGCGAAAUUCCUUGUCGGGUAAGUUCCGACCUGCACGAAUGGCAUAAUGAUGGCGGCGCUGUCUCCAGCAGAGGCUCAGUGAAAUCGAAAUCGCUGUGAAGAUGCAGUGUACCCGCGGCUAGACGGAAAGACCCCGUGAACCUUUACUGCAGCUUGACACUGAACUUUGACCUUACUUGUGUAGGAUAGGUGGGAGGCUUUGAAGCUGGAACGCUAGUUCCAGUGGAGCCGUCCUUGAAAUAC